CCAGACUCCUACGGGAGGCAGCAGUGGGGGAUAUUGCACAAUGGGGGAAACCCUGAUGCAGCGACGCCGCGUGUGGGAAGACGGUCCUCUGGAUUGUAAACCACUGUCCCCAGGGACGAAGAUGACGGUACCUGGGGAGGAAGCACCGGCUAACUCCGUGCCAGCAGCCGCGGUAAUACGGAGGGUGCAAGCGUUGUCCGGAAUCAUUGGGCGUAAAGAGUUCGUAGGUGGCAUAUUAAGUCUGGUGUUAAAUGCAGAAGCUCAACUUCUGUUCGGCACUGGAUACUGGUAAGCUUGAAUGCGGUAGAGGUAAAGGGAAUUCCUGGUGUAGCGGUGAAAUGCGUAGAUAUCAGGAGGAACAUCGGUGGCGUAAGCGCUUUACUGGGCCGUAAUUGACACUGAGGAACGAAAGCCGGGGUAGCAAAUGGGAUUAGAUACCCUGGUA
rnacentral:rRNA from 1 species